rnacentral:rRNA from 1 species
UGGAGGCAGCAGUGAGGAAUAUUGCGCAAUGGGGGAAACCCUGACGCAGCGAUGCCGCGUGAGUGAAGAAGGCCUUCGGGUCGUAAAGCUCUGUCAAACGGGAAGAAUAGCUUCGGGGCUAAUAUCCUCGAGGUGUGACGGUACCGUUGAAGGAAGCACCGGCUAACUCCGUGCCAGCAGCCGCGGUAAGACGGAGGGUGCGAGCGUUAUACGGAUUUAUUGGGCGUAAAGAGCAUGUAGGCGGUCGGUCAAGUCUGAUGUGAAAGCCCGGGGCUUAACCUCGGAAGGGCGUUGGAUACUGGUCGACUUGAGUUCGGGAGAGGGAAGCGGAAUUCCGGGUGUAGAGGUGAAAUUCGUAGAUAUCCGGAGGAACACCGGUGGCGAAGGCGGCUUCCUGGACCGAAACUGACGCUGAGAUGCGAAAGCGUGGGGAGCAAACAGGAUUAGAAACCCUGGUAGUCCG